rnacentral:misc_RNA from 1 species
AGCAAGUAAAACUGUAUGCCUAAGAUACACAAAAGCGGGCCCCUUUUUUAUAAAAAAAAAAAUAAGCAAAGGCAAACUAUUCUCUUCUUCGAGGUGUGAGAAAACGCCCGGACUAUCACAUUCACACGGUUUACAGAAUCAAUCAAUACCUUUGAACCCUCUACUCCAAAAGCUACGCACGCAGAUGCCAUCAUCCUCAGCAAAACGAAAUGAAAAAAAAAGAACAAAAGAAAACAAAAACAUAUGUAACACGGACCCUUACAAUGUGAUUCAUUCGCUGCUGUCGUCGCUUUCUUCUUCACACAACGGCGCGGACUGGAUUAUGACCCGAGCUCCAGAAGGAAGCCUGCAGUUUUUUUUUUAAGAGCGGUGUUUUUUUUGUCAGUAUCUAGAGACAAACACCAGCAGACGGAGAUGAUGGAUGCAUAUGAGAGAGACAGUGAGAGGCAACUCAACUUUCUUCGAUCUUGAUCAUGUCCUUCUCCUCGCGGAACAACGACUCGGCUCUCGCACAAGACAGUUUGCCCGGCGGCGACGGAUCGGCCAUCCUGUUGCUCGCGCUCUUCGAUGAGCCCAGCGGUGAGGACAUGGUACUGUGUUCUUGUUGGAUAGAGCCGUUUCUCACGUCAGAGGCAGGGGGGGAGAGUACUGUUCCACUCCUCGACUGCUUACACGAUAUGAUCCUGAUGGUCUGUGGGAGGCACCUGAAACUACCUGCCUCACAGGAGCUUUCCGUGUUGCUUUUGGGAUGUGCUGCUCUGUACACUCUGAAAAAUGUUCAAAACAAAAGGAGGCACUGGGUCAAGAAAUCAGUAUUUGAACAUCGGAUUGCUUGUGCAACAUUAAAGACAAAAAAAAAUACUAAGA